GAUGAACGCUAGCGGCAGGCUUAACACAUGCUAGUCGAGGGGUAGAAGGAGCUUGCUCCUUUGAGACCGGCGCACGGGUGCGUAACGCGUAUGCAAUCUACCUUUUGCAGAGGGAUAGCCCAGAGAAAUUUGGAUUAAUGCCCCAUAGUGUUAUCGAAUCGCAUGGUUUGAUAACUAAAGUUCCAACGGUAUAAGAUGAGCAUGCGUCCCAUUAGUUAGUUGGUAAGGUAACGGCUUACCAAGACAAUGAUGGGUAGGGGUCCUGAGAGGGAGAUCCCCCACACUGGUACUGAGACACGGACCAGACUCCUACGGGAGGCAGCAGUGAGGAAUAUUGGGUCAAUGGGCGCAAGCCUGAACCAGCCAUGCCGCGUG
rnacentral:rRNA from 1 species